rnacentral:tRNA from 1 species
CUGAUAGCCACACUCAAUGCAAGGCUGCGUAUUUCACCCUGGAGGGAGUGCUGGUUUGCCACAAAACUCCAUCGUAACUGAAAGAGGAAAUCUUCUACAAAUUCCAGAGACCUUCUUGGAGGAUGAGAAGCAGCCACUAGUUGACAGGAGGGGAAGUGAGGCAUGUAGUCUUCAAGGGAGCAGACCACCGUGGGAGUUAUAAAAGACCAGCGACGCCUCUGGGUGGGUUCGAACCACCAACCUUUUAGUUAACAGCCAAACGCGCUAGCCGAUUGCGCCACAGAGACAUGGCUGAGCUCCUAAUUUCGUUCUAUAAGAGGGUAAGCUGUCACUAAACGCUAGCUAGCACCAUCCGCCUUUUGCAAAAUGACUGGGUAAUCUCCAAAGCCUCGGAAAGCCGGAGCAGUCAGAGCGACGAAUCUACUUGUUUGUCAAGUUUGAAACCUGUGCAUUGAGUGAUUCCGAAACGCCCCGCACC